UGCUCUGGUGGUUGGACGGAUUACGCAUUCGAGUACGUGAAAAAUAACGGAAUCACCACCGAAGAAAAUUACGAAUACACAGAAAGCGACAACGGAGUUUGCAACACAGAAACUCCCGUCGUGGAGAUCAUUAAUUAUGAAGAUGUACCAAAAAAUGAUGAGAAAGCAUUACAACAAGCUGUUGCAAAUCAGCCUGUCUCAGUUGGCAUUGAUGCCUACGGAAGUGAUUUUCAGUUUUAUUCAGGUGGGAUUUUUACUGGAAGCUGUGGAAAUUCACUGACUCAUGCAGUAACAAUAGUUGGUUAUGGGAGUGAAAAUGGAAUGGAUUACUGGUUGGUUAAGAAUUCAUGGGGUGAAAAUUGGGGUGAUGCUGGCUACAUGAAAAUUCAAAGAAAUGCUGGUGUGGAAGGAGGACUCUGUGGGAUUGCAAUGGCAGCUUCUUACCCAGUUGCUUAAUUAAACUUAUAUUAUAUAUCUAUAUAUAUCUACUUGUGUUUCUUUCAAUAAAUUCUCUAUAUGUGUCUGUGUGUUUUGGCCCAUUUUUUGUUGUGAAAUUGCCAGUUUUUUUAGCUGGUAAUUUUGUUGUAAUUUUACGUCAAUGUAACUGAGGAUGAUUACGUAUUAAUGGAGUUUUAACUGUUUUAAACUUAAACUAGCAUUUUUCAUGAAUUGGCUUCAAUUUUCGAAGUUUACAUGGACUAUUGAAUAUGUAACAACUAAAUUUAUUUUGAUGAAAGCCAUAUACCAUGUAUAGAUAAACUACCAGUAUCUUUUCUUGCUUUUGAAGUUGAAUUUCUGAUUUCCCGUUGGUAGGUUUUCCACUUUCUACUUCAUUUUCUUCCCCCAUUUUGUGGGAACUAUUUGGCUCCACCGGUUAAGAACUGUGAUUCCAAUAUGCUAAUGUCUCUUAACUUGCUUUAUUAGUCGGGCUUCACAUAACUGUCGAACAUUCAGGCCUAAAACAGAGAUUUCCAUCACUAUUGUAUAUAAGAAAUCUAAGAAGGGCCUUCUGUUUUCUUAACAAUUUCUUGUUUCAUUGUUCAAUAGUCGUCGACUAGAAACAAGAAUGUGAAUGUGAUUUGUCUUUGCAGAUCAUGGUUGAUUCCGUACAUGAUCCAAAAGUUGGAAUAGUAUUUGACUCAAAGUCAUUGAUAAAUGCCUUACAAAUUUCUUUAGAAAGUUUUAAUCGUACAUGCAAAUUUCCUUUAGCAAGUAUGACGAACUUUAAGUGAAUAUCUACUCCUCAAGUUUAUUUGGUACAAUCUUUCUCAAAGGUACAAGUUAGAGGGAAUUGAUUGCCAUUUCUUAAUUCAAAAAUUGAAAGCUGGUUAUUCUAAUGAUAAUAUCCUGUAAUUUUGUUCGCAUCAAUAUUGAAAAUAUAUAAAGAUAUUUUUUGAUUUACAAGUGAGCUUUCCUAUGUAUUGUGUUGAUUGUUUUGGAACAAUUGGUUGGACAGGAAAAGGCGCAACUCCUUCAAAAUUUUAUGGGAGCUCUUAUUUAAAAUUCUACUUUUCUACUGACCGCGGAGAAAUUGGUGAAAAACUGAGAUUUCAAAUGCUGUACCAUCUUACCUUCUAUAUUUGUUGCUCAACUUCUGACUCUAAGUAAUAAAGAGGGUGUGUCGAACUUUGCAAUUUGCAGUCGUUGAGAUUAUAAAUGCAUAUAUAUAUGUAUAUCAUGACAUUAUGCAAAUUUAGUAGCAUGUAUGAACUGUUGGAGUUAGGAGGAAGAGGCUAGAGAGACUAAUGAGAAAACUUAAAUUUUUUAUAUUAUGGUUGUUCGAAAAAAGCUUCAAGUAUAUGACUAUUUAUAGACACUAUUACAACUAUUAUAAUUAAUUAUAACCACAAACAAAUAUAAUAAAUCUAAUUUAUGACCCACAAUUACUAACAAACCAAAAGAUAAAUAAAUAUUCUAAUGUAUAAAGUUCAACUACUAAGAAACUGAUUAAUUAUAUUCUGAUUUGCAAAUUAAUUCUUAAUACUCCCCCUUAAUUUGCAAAUCUCCUUUUCAAUCCAAGAUUAGCUUGUACCUUUUGAAAGACUUCAAACUUGAGCUGUUUGGUAAAAAUAUCCGCCAUUUGAUCUUCAAUCUUUACGUGCUUGAGCUCUACUUCUUUUUUAGCAAUGCAAUCUCUAAUAAAAUGAUAUUUUGUGUUUAUAUGAUGUUUCAUUCAUGAAAUACUAGGUACUUGGCUAAUGCUUGUGCGGACUUAUUGGCAAUAAAAGUUUUAGUAUCUUUGUCCUGUGUCAAAUGAAGUUCUUUAAAUAAUCUUUUAAGGCAUAUGACAUGAUAAGCACAAGAGAUUGCUACUACAUAUUUAGACUCACAAGUUGAUAGUGUAAUAAUGACUUGCUUCUUAGAACUCCAUGUAAUUGCACAAUUAUCCAUAAAGAGUACAAAACCAGUUGUACUUUUUCUAUCAUUAAUAUCUCUAAUGAAAUCACUAUCACAAAAUCUCACAAGUUUGAAAUCAUUAUAAGAUGAAUAAAAUAACUCAAAAUCAACAGCACCUUUAAGGUGACGUAGAACUCUUUUAACAAUAUUCAUGUGGGAGACAGUAUGAGGUUCCAUAAAAGGACUUAUUAGUCUAAUUGCAAAUAUAAUAUUAAACCUUGUAAAUAUCAAUUAUCUCAAACUUUUCAUAAGACUUUUAAAGAGAGUGGGAUCGACUUUUUCUCAAUUAUCAAACUUUGAUAACUUGACUCCACAUUCCAUAAGCGUAUUCACAGGAUUGCAAUUAAAUAUUUUGAAUUUCUCUAAGACUUUUCUUGCAUAGCCUUUUUGAGAAAUAAAAAUAUUAUCUUCCGUUUGCUUCACCUCAAGGCCUAAAUAGUAAGACAUGAGCCCCGUAUCAGUCAUUUCAAAUUCAAGUAACAUGUUUUUCUUGAAUUCUUUAAACAAACUUGGAUUGUUGCUUGUGAAGAUGAGAUCAUCCACAUAUAGACGCAUAAAUAGAAUAUCACCAUUAGAACGAUACUUCACAUAAAGAGCAUAAUUCAUGAAGGCAACAAAUAAAUCUAUUAUCUUCAAAAUACUUGUUUAUAUGGCUAUCCCAUACUCUUGACGCUUGUUUUAGCGUAUACAAAGCUUUCUUCAAUUUCAACACUUUAUUUUCAUGUCAUUCAACAGUGAAACCCAAUUGUUGUCCUACAUAAACCUCUUUAUUAAGGUAGCUAUUGAGAAAUGCCGAUUUUACGUCAAGUUAUAAAAUUUUCCGCUUCAUUUGAGCUAAAAUAGCUAAGAGCAAACAAAUAGUCUCCAUGCGAACAACUCGUGCAAAAACCUCAUCAUAAUCAACCCCAUGCUUCUGCUUGUAUCUUUUAGCCAUAAGUAUUUCCUUGUACAUUUUCACAUUUUGUUGAGAAUCUUUUUUAGCUUUACAGACCAUUUGACACAAAUAACUUUAUGUCCCUUAGGAAGAGUGAAUAGCUCCUAUGUGUUGUUAUUUUCUAUGGAUUUGAUCUCUUCCUCCAUGAUUGUUUCCACUUACAUCUUUGAUGGCUUCAUCAAAAUUUAUUGGUUCACUGUCAAGAAAAAGACAAAACAAAUAAUUUCAAUCAAAGUUAGUGAUGUCCUCAGUUUCAUCAUAGAGAUCUUGAAUGCUCUUUAAUUUUCAUGGCCUUUUACCUAAACUUCCUUGAGAAGUGGGUGAUGUAACAUGAGUUGGAGAAUGAGGUGGAGUUGCCUUUUGCAAUGGUACCAUGGUCCCUUGGUCUUCCUCUUCAAAGUACGGAAAGAAAUCAUAAGUAUUUUUUUCUUUCUUCUCUCAAUUCCAUGUUGCUUUUUCAUUAAAUUCAACAUCUCUACUUACCAUGAUCUUGCCAUUGCUUGAAUUAUAUAAUUUAUAGCCUUUUAAGUUUGCAUCAUACUAAUGAAAAUAUACUUGACACUUCGAUCAUUGAGCUUGAAUCUCUCUUAUUGUGGAAUAUGAGCAUAUGUAAUAUUUCUAAAAGCUCGCAAUCGUUGACAUUAGGUUUCAUUCCACUCCAUGCUUGUUAAAAAGUCAUGUCUUUCAAACUUGAUGUGGGAGACCUAUUAGAUAAAUAUACUGCACAAAAAAUUAUUUCGGCCCAAAAUUCCUUGGGCAUGUUUUUUUACUUUCAACAUGCUUCUAGCCAUAUUAAGAAUAGUUUUAUUCUUUCUCUGUAUAACUCCAUUUUUGUGUGGUGAUUUUGGAACCAUUAACAGGCGACGAAUUCCAUUAGAUUCAUAAAAAUCAUAAAAUUCUUUAGAAGUAAAUUCACCUCCUCUAUUUGUUCUCAAAAACUUUAUUUCACAACUACAAUAUUUUUUUACAAAAGCUUUGAAAUUUUUAAAAACAGAAAAAAAAUCUAAUUUUUGCUUUAAAAAAUGUAUUUAAGUCUUCCUACUAAAAUCAUCAAUAAAUAGUAGAAAUUAUUUGUUUUUACCAAAUGAGGUGGAUUGAUUGGCCCACACACAUCGGCAUGCACAAGUUGAAGUAGUUUAGUUACUCUUGUAGUAACUUCUUUUGGGAAACUCCUUCUUGAAUGCUUUCUAAAUAGACAUGCUUCAUAUAAUUGAUUAGGAUGGUUGAUUAAUGACAUCGAUUUCACUAUUUUUUCUUCUUGCAUUGCCUUGAGUGCGCCAAAGUUGAAAUGGUUAAAUCUUAUAUGUCAACAUCGUGCUUUAUCUUCCACACUAGCCUUCAAACAUCUUGCUUCAAUAGUUUUGAGAUUCAAGAUAAACAUUCUAUUAUUUGACAUAUGCACCUUAUUAAUCAAAUUAACUCUUUAAUCUCUAAACCAAAGACAUUAUCUUUCAUGUGAAUUUCAUAUCCAUUUUUAAGAAGCUGUCCCAAACUCAAAAUAUAACUCCUUAACUUUGGCACAUAGUAAACAUUAGUAAUAAGUACAUGCCCAUCAUUUUUUAAAAGAGAUUAAAAUUGUACAUUUUCCUUGAAUUUGAACUUUUGAAGAGUUUCCAAAAGAAACAUUGUCAUUAAUCUUCUCAUCAAGCUCAAUAAAUUUUUCUUUAUUGUCGUACAUGUGAUUGCUUGCUCCAUUAUCCAAGUACCAUGAAUUAUGGAUAUCACUAUCUCCCUCUUUACAUGUUAGUAAUAAAGUUGUUUCUUCCUCAUCUUGUUUAUCAUUGACAAAAUUGGCUUGUUCCUCCUUCCUGUUUGAAGUGUUACGAUAUUAUUCCUCUUUCCCAAACAUAAUGUCCAUAUAUAUGACAAUUGUAACAUUUAAUAUUUGAUUUGUUAUAAUUUCUAUAGUUAGCUCUUCCUCUUUCUCUUCCUCUUCCACGGUCUCUAUUUGACAGUUAACCUUUGUCUUUUAUUAUCAGCAUCAUCUUGUGUAACAUCCACCCCUUUUAUUUGUGAAAAAUAAAUAAAAAAUUGAGAAUUGGAUUUAAAUGAAAGGAUGUUAUUAAUUUUGAGCGUUUUAAGUAAUUUUAAGGACUUAAAUGAAAGUAAAUAAAAAAAAUGGGGGUAAAAGUUUAAAUAAGUAGAAGUGGAAUGAGGCAAAAAGAAACAGAGAACGGAUGGUCCUGAUCGAACUGUAUGAGGAAAUCGAAUGGCUGAGAUUUAAUGGAGAAUGGACGGUCUAGAUCUAGUUAGUGAGAUCCAAUGGUUGGAGAGGAUAGGUAUAAAAAAGAAAAGUUUAGAGUUUCUUUUCAUUUGGGUGGGUAGUCGAGAGGAGGAGAGAAAGAGGUGAGCCGAUUGGGUAAGAGGGACGAAAGGAAACUGUCGUGCACGGGGAAGCCGAGAGGAAGAAAUAAGGAGAGGAAAAGAGAAGGGAGGCCGGAAAAGGAGAGAGGAAGGAGAAAAAAGAAAGAAGAGUGGCCGAAUGAGAAGGAGAAGGGGAGCCGAGAACGGUCACCGCAAGGAAGAUAAGAGAGAGGCAGAGGCGAGAGAGUUGUGGAAGCCGAGCAAAAAGGAAAAAAAAAAGAAGAAUCGACCGAGACAUCAUGCGACGACGGAGACCGAUACAUUAAUAGGUAAGAAGAUUUCAUUUUUUUUCAUUUUUCUUCCCCUAUUCUCUUUCAAUCCUUUUCUAUUUUACAUUAAUCGAUUUGUAGGUUUAAAAAUAAUCAUCCGAAUUUCAAGCAAGCUAGGGAGCCACGGGGUGUCCAAGAGAAAACAACUGGGAGCCAAACCUAGAUUGAAUCGCCCCAUGCCAGAAAGGUAAAGCAUUUGUUUUUGUAUUUUUGGUGGCUGUUGAGCGGCGGGGGAGCAAUGGUCGGGUGUCAAAUUGGCCAGGCGAGCUCAGCCUGGCCACCUACCCGCACGAGAAUUGAGGAAACUUCCAUAGGAGUGGAAAACUGGCCCACCAGUGGAAGCCGAGGGGCCUUCCUCGGGAAUGGAGGCUGGAUUCACCCUUUUGGGAUUCCGAUUCACCAUUCGGGUAAUUGAAAAGUCUUCCUCGAGUAUGGGAAUUUGAUCCGCCAAAUGGAAAGCUGAAAGGUCUUCCUCAGGUACGUAUCCCGAUAUUUUCGAGAUUUUCCAUCAGAUUAUCAUUGAAACCCGUAAAUUCGAUUAGAUUAGUUUUGUUUAGUACUUAAAUUAUAUUAAUUAAUUUGUGUCGUGCGCAUACAGAAAAUUAGGAUGUUUAGGCGGAUCUGGAAAGAUUGUUGCGUAGGAGUGUAAGUAUUUAUGAUUCUGAACCUAGAUUUGGAUUUUGAAAAUUUCAUGUUUUUUAUUAAUUUAUGUGUAUUUUAAAAUUUGAAUCGAUAUUGACCCGAUUUUUAAUGAAGAAUAAAACCUGAAACUAUAAUCAGGGAACCUAAGCUAUUGGAAUUUAUGAAGAGAUGAAACCAGAAACAAACCCAAAGACUGAGGAAUACUUGGACUAUGAUGAGAAAUUGAUUUUAACCUAAAAGAAAAUUACUAGUUAAGUGGAAAGUUGAAAAAGAAAGAAAAUAACAUAAAGAAAUGAAUAAAAAUAAAAGAAUUAAUUAUGAUGGUGAAAUGAUCAAUUUAAAUAAAAUUUCAGAGAAAAUAGAAUGAGAGUAAAAUAAAUGCGAAAUCAGAAAUGAGAGAAUGAGAGUGAUUUAGGGUAUAAACCCUGAAUACCCCUUUUUAUUUAGUCUGAAUCAAAGAGGGGAGUGUGUGUGUGUAGCUGAAGUUCAGUGGGUAUGGUGAAUCUGCAUAUGGAUAGAAUUUGAAAUCUAAUCCAAACAUGGACAGAUGUUUAUGAGUGUGAUCACCUAACAAACGUAUCUGUUACGACCAUUGUGAGAUUCUGUGUGUGGUUGAUAUCCAUGCGAUGGGGGGAUCCAUUUUGUCUCUCCCCAAUGACGACAUAACCAACAUCGCGUGAUGAAACCUUAGAAAAGACAUUUCGAGUAUACAUGUGAUCUUUCGUAUGUAUGUGAUUAUGUGGUCAUAUUUUGAGGCUAUGAUUGACAUUCAAGUGUAUAUAUAUGUUCUUUCGAGAGUAUGUGCAUAUACAUUUGAGGAUUAUAUAUGAUAUUCGAGAGAUUCAGAAAUCUUAUAAGAAACAUAUAAAAUGGUGAAAAUAAAAAAUGAAUUUUACAUUGAAAUAUCACUAUUGUACUUGUCUUAUAUUAUGUGUUUUGCAUUAAAUCUUAUAUAGGUUGAGAGAAUGAAAAUAUUUAUUGAGUUGAUAAAACUCAUUAAAUUUUACUUUUAUAUUUUUCAGAUGAGAAAAAAGAGCCAGAACCGCUGCCAGGCGAGUAGAACCUAUAAAAAGAGUCCCUAUUUGUAUAUUUUGUGCAUAUUCGAGAAAUUUUAGUUUUGUUUUGUUAAACUCUAAAUUUUAAUUUCAUGUUUUGUAUAUAUAACUACUGUAUAUAUAUACACACACACACACAUCUCAAUUAGUAAAUUUAUUGACUGCGUAAACACAUUUCAUAUACGGGUCAUAUCAAGAAACACAUAUUAACAUUUAAUAUGUAAAUAUAAUAAUUAAUCUAAAACAUAUAUAAUUAUUUUUUAAAAAUUAGUAAUCAAUACAUAAUCAUAUUUUCAAUCUAAGUAUAUUAUACGCUUACUAAAUUCUCAAAGUAGUUAAAUAUAUCUUUAAAAAAUAACAUAUAUAUGUAUAUAUAAAUUAACAAUCACCUAUAUAAUAUAAAAUUGAACAACUACAUACCAUAUUCACAAAACAAUAAAAUCAGGAUCCUGUUGAUCAAGUGCAAUUUUGUUCUUCUAAAUAUUUUUGUAUGAACAAGCAAAGGCAUUCAUAUAAUUUAAAUAAUUCCAUAUAAUUAUUAAUUUCAAUUUUAUUUAUAAUAAUUCAAGUUAAUGCAUCAUAUGCUUCACCAAGAAUAUGAACAGAUGGUUACAUAUAUUAAUCUAUUACAAACGUUAUAUAUAUAUAUAUAUAUAUAUAUAUAUAUAUAUAUACAUACAUACAUAGCUGUAUGCCGAUUUUGAAUUGAUUUACACGGCAAAUAGAAAAAAUGUUUUUUUUUUUUCCAAUUUUCUCACAAAAAUUUCUUUUCAAUUAAGCAAGAAUUAUUGGAAACAAUGCAGUCUCAUUCAAAACCCUACAUGAAAUAAUCUCAAGCUAUUCCACAACAUCCUCUAUAUAUACCGACCUUAGCUCUAUAUAUUUUUAUCUCAAGCUGUGCCUCAAUACCUCUACCUUGUUCCUCUCUCCUUCAUUAAACCUUAAACCAUUCGUACAAUCUCCAGCAAGUAUUCAUUAAUGGCUUUACGAGUUGAAGCAAAAAUCAUCAUCAUCACCUUGGUGAUGAUUCUACAAACUAUCGAUUUUCUGGUAAUGUCGCGGACGCUUCAAGACACUCUCAUAGUCGAGAAACAUCAACAAUGGGUGGAAAAACAUGGACGUGUUUAUAAGGACAAUGCGGAAAAAGAAAUGCGUUUUAAGAUAUUUCAGGACAACAUCAAAUAUAUUGAGAAUUCCAAAAUUGCCAGAAAUCAGAGUUAUCAAUUAAGUCUUAAUAAAUUUGCAGACAUGACUAAUGAAGAAUUUUUAGCUUAUUAUACAGGAUUCAAUAUGCCCACAAGGUCUGCAUCAACCACAUUCAAAUACGAUAAUCUAGCUGACGUCCCACUCAGUGUCAACUGGGUUGAGAAAGGAGCUGUUACUGGAGUUAAGAAUCAAAAGCAUUGUGGUAACUAAAAACAUCUCUUAUCUUAUAGCAAAUUUUAAUUUGAUAUUUUAUAGUUUAAAAUUUUUUAAGUCAAGAUUAUUUAUUUAUUUUUUUUACACCCACUAUUUUAUCAUUUAGAUAUUAAUCAAAUUAUUAAUCUGUCUCUUUUAUGAGUGUGUAAUAUAAUUUUUUUUUACUUUUUUAAAUAAAAAAGUAAUGAAUUUAACUAAAAUCUGAAUUAUGAGAUCAUAAAUUAUAAAAAAAUAUUACAAUAUUUCAAAUUAAAAACUUUAAGCACAGUGAUUCAAAUUAAAUUUUGCCCGUAUAAAUGCGUACAUAAUUAUUUAACAUAACCAUAUUUGUUUAUUUGCUUGCAGGAUCUUGUUGGGCAUUUUCAGCAGUGGCAGCAAUUGAAAGUAUCAACCAGAUCAAAAGCGGUAAAUUGGUAUCAUUAUCCGAGCAACAACUGAUAGAUUGUGUAUCGAAAAACCAUGGAUGCUCUGGUGGUUGGAUGGAUUACGCAUUCGAGUACGUGAAAAAUAACGGAAUCACCACCGAAGAAAAUUACGAAUACACAGAAAGCGACAACGGAGUUUGCAACACGAAAACUCCCGUCGUGGAGAUCAUUAAUUAUGAAGAUGUACCAAAAAAUGAUGAGAAAGCAUUACAACAAGCUGUUGCAAAUCAGCCUGUCUCAGUUGGCAUUGAUGCCUACGGAAGUGAUUUUCAGUUUUAUUCAGGUGGGAUUUUUACUGGAAGCUGUGGAAAUUCACUGACUCAUGCAGUAACAAUAGUAGGUUAUGGGAGUGAAAAUGGAAUGGAUUACUGGUUGGUUAAGAAUUCAUGGGGUGAAAAUUGGGGUGAUGCUGGCUACAUGAAAAUUCAAAGAAAUGCUGGUGUGGAAGGAGGACUCUGUGGGAUUGCAAUGGCAGCUUCUUAUCCAGU
rnacentral:lncRNA from 1 species